AUUGAACGCUGGCGGCAUGCUUUACACAUGCAAGUCGAACGGCAGCACGGGGGCAACCCUGGUGGCGAGUGGCGAACGGGUGAGUAAUGCAUCGGAACGUGCCCUGUCGUGGGGGAUAACACAUCGAAAGAUGUGCUAAUACCGCAUACGACCUGAGGGUGAAAGCGGGGGACCGUAAGGCCCUGCGCGAUAGGAGCGGCCGAUGUCUGAUUAGCUAGUUGGUGGGGUAAAGGCCUACCAAGGCGACGAUCAGUAGCUGGUCUGAGAGGACGACCAGCCACACUGGGACUGAGACACGGCCCAGACUCCUACGGGAGGCAGCAGUGGGGAAUUUUGGACAAUGGGGGCAACCCUGAUCCAGCCAUGCCGCGUGCGGGAAGAAGGCCUUCGGGUUGUAAACCGCUUUUGGCAGGAACGAAACGGUGCGGGCGAAUACCCUGUGCUAAUGACGGUACCUGCAGAAUAAGCACCGGCUAACUACGUGCCAGCCGCCGCCGUAAUAC
rnacentral:rRNA from 1 species